rnacentral:lncRNA from 1 species
CAUGUAACCUCACAAUCUGUGAAGGUUGGAAUUUAUCAUCCCUCUUUAAGAGAGGAUAAAACUGAGGGGCCAGCCCAGUGGCACAGCUGUUCAGGUUGCACGUUCGGAUUCAGCAGCCCAGGGUUCACCAGUUCGGAUCCCAGGAACCCAUUGUGGUGAAAACUGGGGACUUUCUGCCCCAGUAUGUUGGACUGUACCCUCCCUGACCUCACCAUUAGCAAUGUUGAAGAUGACUCUCCAGUUAAGUUAUCAAGGUCAUGUAAUACUGGGAAAGAAGAUGACCGUGGAAUGCCUGGAUUCAAGCCCUGGUCUUCUAUUUGCAAGAUGAGUUCUUUGGAUAAAUCACAAUCUACCAGAACUUCAGUUUGCUCUUUUGUAAAUUGGAGGUCGGCCCAAGGAAUCCACUUGCCUGAGGAAAUACUAGGAUCUUUUUAAAAGAGAAACACAAAGAGGGAAAAUGAGCAAUCAGCUUCUACUAUACAAUAUAGAAUUCUGCAGAAGACAAUUUCUAUUGUCUUGAGAGAGAAUUUUUCCAAGUCCUUUUUGCCUCCUCAUCAGAG